UACAGAGGGUGCGAGCGUUAAUCGGAAUUACUGGGCGUAAAGCGUGCGUAGACGGUUUCGUAAGUCGGGUGUGAAAUCCCCGGGCUCAACCUGGGAAUUGCAUUCGAAACUGCGAGGCUAGGGUACGGAAGAGGGAAGCGGAAUUUCUGGUGUAGCGGUGAAAUGCGUAGAGAUGUGGAGGAACACCGAUGGCGAAGGCAGCCUCCUGGGCCAAUACUGACGCUCAUGCACGAAAGCGUGGGGAGCAAACAGG
rnacentral:rRNA from 1 species